rnacentral:rRNA from 1 species
UUAAAAAGCUCGUAGUCGGAUGUCGGGCUCGGGCAGGCUGUCGGCUUCGGUCGGACGGCAGGCUCGGGUCUUUCUGCCUGAGGAUCCAUCUCAUUCACUUGGGGUGGGGACGCAGGCCGUUUACUUUGAAAAAAUUAGAGUGUUCAAAGCAGGCCUACGCUUGAAUACAUUAGCAUGGAAUAAUGGAAUAGGACUUUGGUGCUAUUUUGUUGGUUUAUGGGACCGAAGUAAUGAUUAACAGGGACAGUUGGGGCCGUUUAUAUUUCGUUGUCAGAGGUGAAAUUCUUGGAUUUAUGAAAGACGAACUUCUGCGAAAGCAUUUGCCAAGGAUGUUUUCAUUAAUCAAGAACGAAAGUUGGGGGCUCGGAGAUGAUUAGAUACCAUCCUAGUCUCAACCAUAAACGAUGCCGACUAGGGAUUGGUGGAUGUUAAUUGAUGACUCCACCAGCACCUUAUGAGAAAUCAAAGUUUUUGGGUUCCGGGGGGAGUAUGGUCGCAAAGCUGAAACUUAAAGGAAUUGACGGAAAGGCACCACCAGGCGUGGAGC